AUGGGAUGAGAUACUAGAUGACGAGUCUGAGAUCGUGUGCGCGAGUUUCUCACGUAUGCGCCGUUGACGACUCUUCCUAAAAUACCAUUCAUGCUUUCCUGACU
rnacentral:snoRNA from 1 species